rnacentral:rRNA from 1 species
CAAUAGCGUUUAUUAAAGUUGUUGCAGUUAAAAAGCUCGUAGUUGGAUUUGUGGCGUACGGUGUGUUCCGGGCACUUGUUGUCUGAGUAACCUGCUGUUGCCAUCCUUGGGUGGAACCUGUGUGGCAUUAGGUUGUCGUGCAGGGGAUGCCCAUCAUUUACUGUGAAAAAAUUAGAGUGUUCAAAGCAGGCUUAUGCCGUUGAAUAUAUUAGCAUGGAAUAAUGAGAUAGGACUUUUUUGCUAUUUUGUUGGUUUGCGCAAAGAGGUAAUGAUUAAUAGGGACAGUUGGGGGUAUUCGUAUUCCAUUGUCAGAGGUGAAAUUCUUGGAUUUUUGGAAGACGAACUACUGCGAAAGCAUUUACCAAGGAUGUUUUCAUUAA